UCUGUGUUUGUGUUCCAAAUCCUCUGCAUGUCGUCUUGCCAAACAACCACAAGGGGAAGCACCCUCCAUUAUAAAUUUGCUUAUAUUCAGGGACUUGCUUUUCAAUUUAGAACCUAGAGAUAGCUUUUGACACCGGAGGCCCUGACUGCUUUGUUUUUGCACAUGGAAACCAAACUUCCCAUUAACAUCCUAGCAAUAUAGCUGCCUAUAAAAACAUGAAUAAAUUCUGGCGCAUCUCUUGGCCAUUCUUGCGCUCGCGGUGGCACCGCUUCCUUCCGUGCCAAUUUUCCUGCAUCUUCCCGCGUUCAUCAUCGUGGCCGACAACCUCUGCCUCGCCAUCUUCUCCUCACUGACGCCUCCCUGUUUCGGUUGCUGCCCUGGGUCGCCCGCGGUGACUGAAUGUGGAAGAGGUAUGUCUACAAAAAAACUAACGACGACAUAUUUGCAUAUUUUAGUUAGUAUUACUUUGGUCUUUCUGAAUCACAAGGUUUGCUCACAAAUUAUCUGAUUUUUACAAUCAUGGAUAGUAAUAUUUACAGUUGAAUGCAGAGAAUAACUAUCAUUUGCCAUCAGUUAAUGGUUUUUUAUUCCUUACUUUAGAUUGUCCUGUUUGCUAUCAUCCAUUUUAAUUGACCAAUUUAUAUUUAGUUUUUGCAUUACUGGAGCCGCUAUUUGUACCACCGUUCAUGUCCACCAUUACUUAACAUAUCUUCUUACAUGGACACUAGAAGAGUAGCCAUGCAGACAACCUUGGUGAAGGAUCUAUCACCUCGGGGAUUUCAAUGGAAGAUCAUUGUGUGUGUCGCUCGAAUCUGGAACCAUAGGGAUCAAGUGACCCGACGUAAUUUGUUCGAGCUGGACUCCAUUGUCAUUGACUAAGAGGCAUGCCUAUACAUGCACCUACUACCCUUACAUUUCAAGUGAAUGGCUUUCUGCUGUAUAGUGGCAACAAAAUGGAAGGAUGCAUCCCAGCCUAUCGAAUUGACCAGUUCAAAGAUAAAAUAAAGGAAGGUUCAAUACCAUUUUGUUCUUUGUUGUAGCAGGAUCUACUCUGAAUUCAGUUUGUGCAUGUCAGCAUUAAGCGGUUUCCAUGGGUUAUAAGGUUAAUCUGAAUAUUAGUUCUAUCAGAAUUGAGAUGAUUGUGGAUAGGGUGAUGUUGAUUCCACUGUCUCCGGAGUACAGACAAUGUGAAAGUAGGCAAGUACACUAUCUGUAGAGCGGAUCGUUAUGUGCAUGUGUGGUCCAUUCCUCAAUGGGGAUUUGAUCUCGGUGGGAUGCUGUUCAGCUCACCCUCAUAGAGAAUUCCUGAUUUUGUCUGGUAUGUGUGUUGUUUCAGUUCUCUGAGGAUUCUGCCAAAUUCUGGACGAAAUGACACCAAAAGAGAAGGUGUGUGGUGAUUAUUACAUGAUCGAUUGCAUUUUAACUACUGGAUUUAUUGGUUCUCCUUAUAAUCUCGAUAACUUUCACUCACAAAUGGUCAUUUAGGAAAGAGAUCAGCUGACAGUGACGUCUUCAUCUCAAGAAUAGCUGGCCUACAUUGGUAUCGAAGAAACAAAUAUAGCACAUGUAGCACAUCAUAUAAAUUUCCACAUACACCAAAGGAGACAUAAUCAUGUCAUGCAGAAAUUAGCACUUAGCACUUUACCAUCUUAGUGAAUGACUUCUAAUGGGUGUUGUUUUCCUUCGUUAAGCAAAAAAGCAUAGCAUGUGAAAUAUGACUUUUUAGAAUGUUCAUUGAUAUAUCAAUGCACCAUAUGCAGCGGAGACUUGCCACUUUACCA